GACGAACGCUGGCGGCGUGCUUAACACAUGCAAGUCGAACGGCAAGGCCCUCCGGGGUACACGAGUGGCGAACGGGUGAGUAACACGUGGGUGAUCUGCCCUGCACUUCGGGAUCAACCUGGGAAACUGGGUCUAAUACCGGAUAGGCCCCCUGGCUUCAUGGUUGGGGGGGGCAAGCUUCUGCGGUGUGGGAUGGGCCCGCGGCCAAUCAGCUUGUUGGUGGGGUAAUGGCCUACCAAGGCGACGACGGGUAGCCGGCCGGAGAGGGUGGCCGGUCACACUGGGACUGAGAUACGGCCCAGACUCCUACGGGAGGCAGCAGUGGGGAAUAUUGCACAAUGGGCGCAAGCCUGAUGCAGCGACGCCGCGUGAGGGAUGACGGCCUUCGGGUUGUAAACCUCUUUCAGCUAUGACGAAGCGCAAGUGACGGUAGUAGCAGAAGAAGGACCGGCCAACUACGUGCCAGCAGCCGCAGUAA
rnacentral:rRNA from 1 species